UCUCCGUUGGUGAACCAGCGGAGGGAUCAUUACCGAGUUUUCAACUCCCAAACCCCUGUGAACAUACCUACACUCGUUGCCUCGGCGGGUGCCCCAGCGCGCAGGCGCGGGGGCGCCAGCCCGCCGGCGGCCCGCUACUCUUGCGUUGACGACUGCAUCUCCGAGCAAUUGCAAACGAAUCAAAACUUUCAACAACGGAUCUCUUGGUUCUGGCAUCGAUGAAGAACGCAGC
rnacentral:misc_RNA from 1 species